rfam:Thielaviopsis punctulata NODE_334, whole genome shotgun sequence.
GGGGACAUGGUCUAGUGGUAUGACGGAUCCUUAGCAUGGAUCAGGUCCGGGGUUCGAUUCCCCGUGUCUCCA